rnacentral:antisense_RNA from 1 species
UGUGGGAGCGGGCUUGCUCGCGAAGGCGUCGGAUCAGUCGAUGAUGAGUGGACUGAUACACCGCCUUCGCGAGCAAGCCCGCUCCCACA